rfam:Lupinus angustifolius cultivar Tanjil chromosome LG10, whole genome shotgun sequence.
GGGAUAUGAUGAGUGGUUAAAUGUCGCAAUAAAAAAUGCGAGUUGGGUGUUCGCCCAAGCCUGGUUACGACAACUGGGCACCCUCUUAUUAUUCCAAUCUGAUCCC